rnacentral:rRNA from 1 species
ACAUGCAAGUCGAACGAGCGAGAGAGAGCUUGCUUUCUCGAGCGAGUGGCGAACGGGUGAGUAACGCGUGAGGAACCUGCCUCAAAGAGGGGGACAACAGUUGGAAACGACUGCUAAUACCGCAUAAGCCCACGGGUCGGCAUCGACCAGAGGGAAAAGGAGCAAUCCGCUUUGAGAUGGCCUCGCGUCCGAUUAGCUAGUUGGUGAGGUAACGGCCCACCAAGGCGACGAUCGGUAGCCGGACUGAGAGGUUGAACGGCCACAUUGGGACUGAGACACGGCCCAGACUCCUACGGGAGGCAGCAGUGGGGAAUAUUGCACAAUGGGGGAAACCCUGAUGCAGCGACGCCGCGUGGAGGAAGAAGGUCUUCGGAUUGUAAACUCCUGUUGUUGAGGAAGAUAAUGACGGUACUCAACAAGGAAGUGACGGCUAACUACGUGCCAGCAGCCGCGGUAAAACGUAGGUCACAAGCGUUGUCCGGAAUUACUGGGUGUAAAGGGAGCGCAGGCGGGAAGACAAGUUGGAAGUGAAAUCCAUGGGCUCAACCCAUGAACUGCUUUCAAAACUGUUUUUCUUGAGUAGUGCAGAGGUAGGCGGAAUUCCCGGUGUAGCGGUGGAAUGCGUAGAUAUCGGGAGGAACACCAGUGGCGAAGGCGGCCUACUGGGCACCAACUGACGCUGAGGCUCGAAAGUGUGGGUAGCAAACAGGAUUAGAUACCCUGGUAGUCCACACCGUAAACGAUGAUUACUAGGUGUUGGAGGAUUGACCCCUUCAGUGCCGCAGUUAACACAAUAAGUAAUCCACCUGGGGAGUA